AGAAAAGCUUUCUAGGGUUCCGUGGCAACAAUGCCAGUCUGGUCCGAGAGAAAGCGCACAGUAAGCUGUGUACACGGAAGGAUAAAAGCCUGGGAGUA
rnacentral:sRNA from 2 species